UUGCUUUCUUAUCAUAAACUCUCGCGGCGUUACUGGCACGGCUUGGGCAUAUGCUUUCGAUGGUUUGCAGCCAGUUGCGUGCCUGGUGCUUACGUGUCCAGACGUAUUUCGCGCGACGCGUAUUGUUUUAGCGGACUCCUAUUUUCUACAUUUGCAUUAUAUUCGGUCAUCCAUCGACGUGUAACAUGCAUCUGCUGUGUUUUGUGAAUGAUUAAUAGUGCGUUUAACGUCCGUAAAUGAUUUUUUGCUCGCUUUUGAUGUUUACAUUUCAAAUUACAAGAAUGCUGCGGUUUUAUUGUCGGUCAUUGUGUGGUGUGGUUGGUCGCUAGAUCAAUUGGAUUGAUUGCCAUGUUGUUCCCCGUUCUUAGGAGGUCCCUUCGUGCUUGAUAUUUGCCGUGCCUUGGAGUCCGAUGUGAUCUGCAUUGUACUUUCUAUGAUUACCUGAUGCACUGAUGCGUGCCGUCGGAUGCGACUUGGAUCUACCUGCAGAGUAUGGUCAUGUCAAUCAUCGGUUUAAUAACGUGAAAUUUUCCUUGCUUGCAUUUUUAUUUUUAUUACAUAAAUCUGCCGGCUCUUUAACGUAUUUUCGUAGCUUGGAAAUUAAUUAUUGAGAGUAAUAUAUUUGUAAAAUAUUUGUAAUAUAUCUGUAAAAUGUAGCAAUUUUCUUCUUGUAUCACCCUAUGUUCUACUUUACCUUGCGUUCUAGUGUAAAACUGACUAAAUUUGUCGUUUCUGGGUCGUUUUCUACUUAAACUUUGUAUUUUAUUUUUAAAUUUAGGAAUUUCCUGUUUGUAUCACCCUGUAUGUUUGUUUUUCUUGAUUUCCUAUUAUAAGUUUUUUAAAUUUGUAUUCCCGACUAUUUUCUGUUUUGUACUAUUGAUUUUCUUUUUGUGAUGUAGUAAUUUCUUUUUUGUAGCACCUUGUAUAUUUGUUUUUCUUGUUGUCCGUGAAAAUUUAGCUUUAGUUGUUGUUUUAGGUUUUUCUUCUUUGCACUUUGAAUUUUCUAUAUGUAACACCCUGUAUAUUUGUUCCCAUUUUCACUCACGUAGAAGGUCGUAAGUCCUGUUUCAAUAUGGCGACAUGUACGAGUAUUUUGUUGACUUGUAAAAUAUAAACUUGUAUUCUAUUGUUAAUAAAGAAAUAGUAAAAUAUA